rnacentral:rRNA from 1 species
GACGAACGCUGGCGGCGUGCUUAACACAUGCCAGUCGAACGGUGAAGCUCCAGCUUGCUGGAGUGGAUCAGUGGCGAACGGGUGAGUAACACGUGAGCAACCUGCCCCUGACUCUGGAAUAAGCGCUGGAAACGGCGUCUAAUACUGGAUACGAGAAGGGUCCGCAUGGGCACUUUCUGGAAAGUUUUUCGGUUGGGGAUGGGCUCGCGGCCUAUCAGCUUGUUGGUGAGGUAAUGGCUCACCAAGGCGACGACGGGUAGCCGGCCUGGGAGGGCGACCGGCCACACUGGGACUGAGACACGGCCCAGACUCCUACGGGAGGCAGCAGUGGGGAAUAUUGCACAAUGGGCGAAAGCCUGAUGCAGCGACGCCGCGUGAGGGAUGACGGCCUUCGGGUUGUAAACCUCUUUCAGCAGGGAAGAAGCGAAAGUGACGGUACCUGCAGAAGAAGCACCGGCUAACUACGUG